CCUACGGGGAGCAGCAGUGGGGAAUAUUGGGCAAUGGAGGAAACUCUGACCCAGCAACGCCGCGUGAAUGAUGAAGGUCUUCGGAUUGUAAAGUUCUUUUCUAAGGGAAGAAGAAAGUGACGGUACCGUAGGAAUAAGCCUCGGCUAACUACGUGCCAGCAGCCGCGGUAAUACGGAGGAGGCAAGCGUUAUCCGGAAUGACUGGGCGUAAAGGGUGCGUAGGUGGUUUGACAAGUUGGUAGCGUAACUCCGGGGCUCAACCUCGGCACUACUACCAAAACUGUCGGACUUGAGUGCAGGAGGGGCCAAUGGAAUUCCUAGUGUAGCGGUGGAAUGCGUAGAUAUUAGGAGGAACACCAGUGGCGAGGGCGAUUUGCUGGACUGUAACUGACACUGAGGCACGAAAGCGUGGGGAGCAAACAGGAUUAGAUACCCGGGUAGUC
rnacentral:rRNA from 1 species